GGCUGUUGGUGGGAGAAGGACUGAGAGCGGCCCAGGCUCGCCUGGUGCCUCUCGACCAAGUCCCGGACGGCAGGGCUGCUGGGGCUGCUCUUGCGAGAGAGAGGCCGGGCCUCGGGCGGAGGGUGGGACACGCUGGCGGUGAACUGCAGCUUCAGUUUCAUGUGCUGGCUCAGCUGGGGUAGGGAGACAUGGAUCAGCCACCCAGCUCGGCUUCCAGGCCCCCGACCUCCUUUCAGGUCAUCUUCCCCACUUGACAGGCCGAAGUCGGAUCUAAAUUCCACCUUCCCUCCGCGCGGCUUUGUAGCACCACCCAUUAUGCUUCAGCCACAGAAGCCAGCGGCCCUGACUCCUUCCACCUGACGCUCUGCCUCACCCAGCACACAGCCUGGCCCCCACCAGCCCACCUCGAAGAGCCCCGUCCUCAGAGCCUGGAAGGCCACACUGAAGGCAGCUGGGUUGUGGAAAGGGUGAAGAGGUCAGAAGAGUCAAGGCCGCCCGCAGCGCCAACGUUCCCUUUAAGAUCUGCGGUACGUGGUUCUCGCCCUCCCCUCUCCUCACCCGUCAUCGGCCUCCCGCUUCCCUCCAGCGUCCCUCUCCCCUCCGGUCUUUGGAGCCCAGCAGACCGCCCCUCCGCCCUGUGCCGUGUCGCCCCGAGCUCCUCACCGUGGUCGCUCCCCCUGAGGUAGCAGGGCCCGGACCGUGGGUGAGGAGGGGGCUGCAGCCUCGAAACAACCCCCCACCACCAGGGUCCCCGCCCCCCGGGGGUUCGGGAUCCUGGUCGCCGGAGCCACCGCCCACGGGCGCCCCUCCGGCGCUGACCGAGGCCAGGGCGGCCAGCGCGGUCGCCAGUUCUGCCCAGGCCCCUCGGGAGCCCAAGCCCGGGCCGCCUCCGGCGCCGGACCCCACGCCGCCCCGGCAGCGCAGCACCAGCAGGAAGCGGACAGUCUCCCCCAGGUAGAGGUGGUUGCGCCGGGGCAGCGCCCGGUACCGGCCCGGGUCCCCCGCCAGCUCCGCGCGUGGCGGCAGCGGCACGGCCGGGAAGUACAUCGAGUAGUCGCACUGGGACUCCAUGGGCGGCGAGGGCGGCGCGGGCCGGGGAGCGAGGUGGGCCGUGGCCGGCGGAGGGCGAGGGGGCCGCUGGGGUGGGCCCGGGGAGCCCCGAGCCCCGACCGGUGCUGCGCGCGGCCGGACCGGCCCGACAGACCAGCCGGGGCCGGGAACCGGGGCAACGAGCCCGGAACCGAGACCCCGUGGGGCCGGAACCGGGGUGCUGGGCCGAAUGACUGGAGAGACACCGGAAGCGGAAGGGAAGGGGCGUGGCCCCGGAGGCGCCGCAAUUUGUGGGCGACCGGAUUUUGGACAAGAGGAGCGGCGUGUGCCUGUGGUUAGGCUGCUGCACGAAGGGUUUAGCUUUCUGCAGAACAAAAGACUCAUUCAGGCGACCAAAGGAAAGAAGGAAAGAAGAAAGGAGAAUAACAGACAAGAGUUGAAAGCAGACAUUGUCGAGGACAUGACAAGAUGAAGGUGCUCAGACCCAGAGGGUGGACAGCUUGCCCAAACUCAAUCCCAGGGGACAGGUUCCAAGAUAAGCAGGCAGAAAUGAACUGCUGGUCACAGAGGCUCUGGGCUAAAGCACCAUCCCUUCGAGGAGGGCGAGGAGGCCGGGCCGGGGGGGCCACAGCUGCUGCCCCAGCCAUCCAGUCAUCCGCAUAGUGCUGUCCC